GCCGCCGCCGCCGCCUCCUCUUCCUCUUCCUCCUCAACCCCGACAUGAGCGGAGGGCUCGGGUACCAGCUGGGGCACCGGAGCUUCGCCGGGGGGCUCCAUGCUCGUCACCGGCCGGGAGCGACGAUGAGGCGGCGGGGAGACCCACGACAGCGCUGCGGCGGAGCUCCUGCACUCUGGCUGGCUGAAGGAGCGGGGACAGGAGCUCCCCGUUGCUCCAACUGCCGCUCCCCCCGGACCGCCGCGACUCCCCGCAGGAUCAGCAAACUUUCUGUUGCUGCCGUUACACAGGUUAGACCCAGCGCUGCCGCUGGCCACCAGACCGCCGUGACUCCCAGCGCUGGGGUUCACGCUGGUUGAAUUCGAGUUGCUACAGCCGCUGACUGAAGGUCCGUCUCCGGAGCUGCCGCCCGUUCUCCUCCCGGCGAAGUAGUCUCCUAGCGGCGGGGAGUGAGGCGGAGGGACCGCGGGGUGACCGAACCACCUCCAUCGGAUCCUGAGAAUCUGCUUCACAUCGAACUCCUUCCGCGAGGAAGAGCCCGAGCCGCUACUCGACAUUCCAGGGCUCUGCACGAAGAAAUGGCGGGGUGAGCCCGUGCCGCUCUGCCGUUAAAAGCUGCACACCUUAAUGUACGCGCGCCUCUCCUGGCAACCGCACGCCCGUUAACCGCGACUGGAAGUGCAGCUAUUCAUAGGCAGUGAUGAUCAGUGGGAUCUGGUCCUGUGGGAGCCAUACCACCCAGAACAGCAGCAGAUCAGCCAGUCAGGACCUUUCUCACCUUCUGCAGUAACCCCAGGACGAUGACAGGAUGUACCGGAGCCACAGAGCUGGAACACAGUGUGUUCUGGAUGGAGUCCUACUAACAGGAGGGGAGGGAUACUUUAGGAGCCCCACUCUAGCAAAAAUCAAUGAGUCAAACAGCCGAGAGCAUGUACCGGGAGAGUCAAAUGUUCUCAGAGCCCUGCACUCAAGGAACCAGAGAGUAAACCAAUGCAUUUCUGCAACACUCACAAUGGAAAUGCCGUCCUGUUACUGGGGGAGGCUGGGAAUGAGGCUCGGAGGGGCCAUUCAGCUCUGGUCUCCUUCAGUUGGAUCUAAUCAUUGGUCACUUGGCAGGAGCCUUCUUGAGCCGCCUACUGUUAUUGGUCUCCUGGCUGAGGCAGUCCAAGCCAAUCACUCAAAACUCUCUGGCACAGCUUUACGGCUAUACAACACUCUGGACACACAUACAAGCACACACACAUAAACACAGACACAAACGCAAGAAAAUGACACCAUGAAAUACCAUUCACACACCCUUCAUAGUCAAUAAACAUCCUGUUUAUGUGCACUCACACAUGCAAACAUGCAUGCACGGCACCACGCAUACACAUGUGCAAAUGGCAGCAUGCAAUUGCAUAUUCGCACACUAUGUACUCUAUAAGCAUCUGACUACACACACACGCACACACACACGCACACACACACACACACACACCCCAAAUAAAAACAAGUAGCAGUCAUCUGGGGAGUGCUGUUGUAAAAAGAUUUUAUGGGGCCAGAAAGUGAAACAUUAUCUGCCUGACCUGUCUGUGAUGAUCAGCUCAUCUCUCAUGACUGAUGUUCAUCCUGCAGUGGCCUUCUUCCAAUGUCUUUCUCUCUCCCUCUUUCUUUCUUCCUCCUCUUCCUUCCUUUCUGUCUCCCUUUUCUCCCUAGUCUGUGUUGAAGCCUUUGCUAUGUAUUCUCCCCAAUCUCCUUCCUAAUCUCAAUUUCCUGCUCUCCAUCCCUGCUAUUACUGUUACUGUGUACUGUGACACACAAGGGCACGUGUGUGUGUGUGUGUGUGUGUGUGUGGGGGGGGGUCUGUGAUUCCCUGAGGUGGAGACCUGCAGGGACGACGCUGCGAGAGGCUUUGUUCUAUAUAGCAUCACGGACAUACAUACAUCAUGACUUUCCUGCAUAUGCCCACACGCAUACACCUACACACACACACAGCUCUGACAAAUAUGAACCACAUACCCGAUAUACAUUCUGCAUGCAUACACAUAAAAACACAAGGAAACACUUUCAUUCAAGUCACGGCCCAUGCAUCACACACACACACACACACACACACACACACACACACACACACACACAUUCACUGCCUGCUUCCGUUGUGUUGCUUGGUACUGUAGCUGCAGGCAAGUCUGUCCUUGAGACUCAGAGCAGGCUCAGACUAGCCAAGCAAAUAAUUACCUCUCCACAUUGACAUGCUGGCUCCUCCCAACAUAUGAAGGAGAAGGAGGGAGCGUGUGUGAGUUUGUGGUUUGCAAUUAAAGUGAUCUGGAAGCACAAUAUUCAAUGUUAUUGAA